rnacentral:tRNA from 1 species
GGGGUAUAGCUCAAUGGUAGAGUGCCUGCCUAGCAUGCAGGAGGUCCUGAGUUUAAUUCCCAGUACCUACA